rnacentral:rRNA from 1 species
ACGAACGCUGGCGGCGUGCCUAACACAUGCAAGUCGAGCGAGGAGAUUCCUUCGGGAUGAUCCUAGCGGCGGACGGGUGAGUAACACGUGGGCAACCUGCCUCAUAGAGAGGAAUAGCCUUCCGAAAGGGAGAUUAAUACCUCAUAACAUUGCAGUUUCGCAUGGAACAGCAAUUAAAGGAGCAAUCCGCUAUGAGAUGGGCCCGCGGCGCAUUAGCUAGUUGGUGAGGUAACGGCUCACCAAGGCGACGAUGCGUAGCCGACCUGAGAGGGUGAUCGGCCACAUUGGGACUGAGACACGGCCCAGACUCCUACGGGAGGCAGCAGGUGGGGAAUAUUGCACAAUGGGGGAAACCCUGAUGCAGCCAACGCCGCGUGAGUGAUGACGGCCUUCGGGUUGUAAAGCUCUGUCUUCAGGGACGAUAAUGACGGUACCUGAGGAGAAAGCCACGGCUAACUACGUGCCAGCAGCUGC